rnacentral:rRNA from 1 species
AUACGGAGGGUGCAAGCGUUAAUCGGAAUUACUGGGCGUAAAGAGCACGUAGGCGGCUUGGUCAGUCGGAUGUGAAAGCCCCGGGCUCAACCUGGUAACUGCAUUUGAUACUGUCGAGCUAGAGUUUGGUAGAGGGAAGGGGAAUUUCCGGUGUAGCGGUGAAAUGCGUAGAUAUCGGAAGGAACACCAGUGGCGAAGGCGACUUUCUGGACUGUAACUGACACUGAGGUGCGAAAGCGUGGGUAGCGAACAGGAUUAGAAACCCCAGUAGUCC